GACCCGACCGUGUCCUCCUGGUAAGCUGGUCGGCUACUCCAUCUCUCGUCGUGUUGGUGUCUGCGCUACGCUGAAGGAGGCGGGUUACGAGCAGGGGAAGGGGUCUGUGGAGAGCCUGAACAGACUUUACCCGAGAUUCCCCACGUCCUCCUUCAGGAAUUUUAUCAGGGACUACGCAGAUACCUUUUGGAGAAGACAGGCUGGCACGGUGACAGAUCCCAUAUUCCCGAAUUUGGCACAAACGUUGGUUCCAAACCCAGGCACCAUCCUUGACACGCCCCUCCUCACCCAGUGCCGCCCGGGUGCCGCCAGGGAUGCCAACUACAAGUGCCGCGAUGUGAUUCUAGGACCUUCUGUUGACGUCACCAACAGAGGGGAUAGCGCCCCCCCUGUGCCCCCCCUUCAGAGUUGUCCUAACGGCCAGGUAUACGUUGUAGAGUCAAGUUAUUUACAUAUCGAACGACAAAAAAAAGAAAGGCUGAUGGGAUAUUUGCCAUCAAGUACAUACUUUCUACAUACUUUCGAAAUAUUGACAAAUGGAUCGGAAAUAUCGCCAUGGGAUAUUCAUCAUAUGGUGCUGGAAUAUUGAUGAUAAUUUCCCAUUAUUUCCACAGUGCUACGACAUCGCGGCGAUGUGCGUGACGUGCGAACAGGCGGUGGUGUCGACCUGCGGCCUCAGCGCCUCCCUCGGUCUCCAGCAGGAUGCUUGCCAGGUCCUCGCUCAAGGCCUGGGCUAGGAACCUCCUCGAGGAUAUCCCAAGGCCAAGAGGGAUUGAUAAUUUUUUUCCCGUAAUCCUCUCUGGACGAAUGGUGUCUUCAAGUGUUUGCAGGACUCGUGUUUCGGAAGUGUCGGGUCGCGUUGAGACGUUUUCUUUUAAGCGUUCUGUGUAAAAGGUGCUUUUGGAAUUGCCGCAGGAUAAGGCGGUGAACGAUCCCUGAAACACGUCUGAAGAGUGCCAAC